rnacentral:ncRNA from 1 species
GGUGGUGGUGCAUGGCCGUUCUUAGUUGGUGGAGCGAUUUGUCUGGUUAAUUCCGAUAACGAACGAGACUCUACGUACCGUGAUAUAUCUCAAAAAAUAGAAAACUUUGAAAUAUAAACAAUACAACUGGAAGAUGGGAUUGAAACAUUAGAUGCUAUAAUAUAUUAAAAAAUAUUUUUAGCGAUUUUGGUGUUUC